UGGGGAAUAUUGCACAAUGGGGGAAACCCUGAUGCAGCGACGCCGCGUGAACGAAGAAGGUAUUCGUAUCGUAAAGUUCUGUCCUAUGGGAAGAUAAUGACAGUACCAUAGAAGAAAGCUCCGGCUAAAUACGUGCCAGCAGCCGCGGUAAUACGUAUGGAGCGAGCGUUGUCCGGGAUUAUUGGGCGUAAAGGGUACGCAGGCGGUUUAAUAAGUCGAAUGUUAAAGAUCGGGGCUCAACCCCGCAAAGCAUUGGAAACUGAUCAACUUGAGUAGUGGAGAGGAAAGUGGAAUUCCUAGUGUAGUGGUGAAAUACGUAGAUAUUAGGAGGAAUACCAGUAGCGAAGGCGACUUUCUGGACACAGACUGACGCUGAGGUACGAAAGCGUGGGGAGCAAGCAGG
rnacentral:rRNA from 1 species